rnacentral:rRNA from 1 species
GGGCCCGCACAAGCAGUGGAGUAUGUGGUUUAAUUCGACGCAACGCGAAGAACCUUACCAGGUCUUGACAUCCACCGAAUCCGAUAGAGAUAUCGGAGUGCCCUUCGGGGAACGGUGAGACAGGUGGUGCAUGGUUGUCGUCAGCUCGUGUCGUGAGAUGUUGGGUUAAGUCCCGCAACGAGCGCAACCCUUGUUAAUAGUUGCUACGAAAGAGCACUCUAUUAAGACUGCCGUUGAUAAAACGGAGGAAGGUGGGGAUGACGUCAAAUCAUCAUGCCCCUUAUGAUCUGGGCUACACACGUACUACAAUGGCCAUCAACAGAGGGAAGCAAGAGAGCGAUCUGGAGCGAACCCCUAAAAAUGGUCUCAGUUCGGAUUGCAGGCUGAAACUCGCCUGCAUGAAGUUGGAAUUGCUAGUAAUCGCGGAUCAUCAUGCCGCGGUGAAUACGUUCCCGGGCCUU